CCAGAGGGAACCUUUGUCUUCAUUAUACUGGCUAGUAAGCAUGCCAGACUUUUGCUUCUCUGUGCUGCUUGCUAUACCAACAUCUUGGAAAAAAAUAAUCUAGAACAAAGACAGUCCGUGCCUCUGCUUGCAAGAUGUACAGAAAUGCAAGAAAUCUACAGAACAUUAUUUCAACAGAAAGUUUCAAAAAAUAUAGGUUAUUUUGCAGUUGUGGCUCAAAGUGUGAAUUUGCCCUUUGUGUCACAGUCUAAAUUUAAGUGGAAACUAGAUGAGAUUUCCUUCAAAUUUCCUGCAGGCAUACAUAUCUGUGUAGCAAGAUGUAACAGUUAGCUUAAUUAUAAACAUUUGGAAGAUUAUCUGUAGUCUUACCCAAAUCACUAUGGUAUACAAUCAGAAGCAAUGGCUGAAGGUCAGCACACUCAGAUUUUAAGCCUCAUGCUGUCCUUAACUGACAACAGGACUCACAACAAAUCAUAUAACUUACUUGGUCCUCAGUUUCUGUAUCUCUUCAAAUGUGUGAUUACUUUCUAAUUUUUCUCCUAGAUAAUUUUCUUUUUGUUUGUUUCAAGUCCUGGAUGUGGCAUCUAAACUCCUAGAUAAUUUUCUAUUUUUUUUUUUUUUUACUACUAAAAGUCCUUGAAUCUAUGAAGCUACAUUUCAAAGUGGAAAAAAUGACUCAAAGAGAGUUUUAAGGAGCAGAUUAAAUGGCCAGUGAUUCAAUAUCAGACAAAAUGUAAUGUAGCUGUCUUCGUUUUCAAUUCCCUUUUCUUUUUCCACUAGAAAACACAGACAUUGGAAGACGUAUGAGACUACGGAAACUAAUUUUCUCAAGGUCAACAAAUAGAGUUGGAAAAUAACGAAGGAACAAAGAAAUGCUGACAGAAAAUGAAUUUCAUACUCCAGUAGUGUUACCAAACUACAUUUCCCCAUCAUGGUAGCCUAAGCCAGGAAGUGGAGAAAAGAGAAGGAUGUCAUUAAGUGGAAAAUAAUCAGAUAAAAAGAUAAUUUAGACAUGAUUCUUGCCCUCAAGGACAUGCAUAAAAAGGUACUCUCUUCUCACUGAAAAAUGUGUUCCCACUUUCACUUAAACCUAGGAAAGUUAAAACCACCCCCAGGAGGUUUCUUUAUAUUGUCUGCAGUCUUUUCUCCUGAAUAUUUUCUUUCCAGUAUUCUGGUCACA
rnacentral:lncRNA from 1 species